UACGUAGGGCGCAAGCGUUGUCCGGAAUUAUUGGGCGUAAAGAGCUCGUAGGCGGCCUGUCGCAUCCGCUGUGAAAUCCCGGGGCUUAACCCCGGGCGUGCAGUGGAUACGGGCUGGCUAGAGGCAGGCAGGGGAGAACGGAAUUCCCGGUGUAGCGGUGAAAUGCGCAGAUAUCGGGAGGAACACCGGUGGCGAAGGCGGUUCUCUGGGCCUGUUCUGACGCUGAGGAGCGAAAGCGUGGGGAGCAAACAGG
rnacentral:rRNA from 1 species